UAUAAAAAAAGGCAAAAUCCCGCUCACUGUUUUUGGUUACCCGCUCGUUAACCAAAUCCCCCAAAUUAUUUCUUUUUCCCCAAAUAAAAGAGAAGAGGGGGGAGGAGGAAGAAGAAGAGAGUGAAGAUGAAGGGACUAAAAAGGUCAAAGGUAGUAGUAGAAAGAGAAGUUCUAGGAAAUCUGUCCAACCAGACCAUGAACAGUGACAGGAAUUUUCUGUCCAAGUUGAUAAAAGCCCUGAAGAAUCUGAGACAGACUUCUUAAACUCAAGAAGAACAACUUUGUCUGAAGAAUUAUCACCCAAAACGACACUGUUCAAUACACAGGAGAAGAGUAAGAAAAAUGGCUGCCACUUGAUCACUGAAGCUGAAAAGAAAUCCAUUUUGUAGAUACAGAACUACACUGGUGACAAGGAGAGUCUAGGGAAGUGUGAACAGGUUUUUGAAUUUAAAAGGAGCUUAAAUACUGUAAAUUCUGCAUGUAAUGAGGUACGAAAUUCCCUUAAAUUGAAGGAUCUCAUGAAGAAAAUAUCUCUAUCUAGGAAAUGCAUUGAACCAAGGAACUGCAAGGGUGAUGAGUGCAUUUUACUCGCCAAUGUGAUUGUGCACAAGUUGUCUGCAAGGACAGGAUGCUUAAAAUAAAGAUGACAAAACCUGAUCAAUAUAAGUGGUUAUCUGGUUUCAUGAUGUUAAUUUCUCACCUUCCCUUUUUUCUGCAAUAAAAUAGAACUUUCUAACUCUUGUCAUGGCACUGUUUUAUGUAAAACACAGACAUUAGUUUUACAUUGCAACUCUAGAAUUGCUAAGCCGUGCCUCUAAACAAGAGCCUUUAUGUAAAUACUUUUGCCUGAUGCUGGUUUUGAGUUUGCGGUUAACUGAUUUUUGUACGGGAGGUCAUUAAUCCAUGUGAAGGCUUGACUGACGAUGACAUUCGAACUGCUAUUCAAAGAAGCUCUUCAAUUUAUACUUGGUUGAUUAGGUGGGUUUUAGAGUCUUGAAUUUAUUCUUUGGUAUUAGCAUGCCAGUUUAGAGUCUUCAAUUUAUAAAGGCGUUGCUCCUAAAAUGUUGAAUUGCCUCAUGUAAGUUAUCUAGGUUAUUGCUUCUCUCUCGAUUGGGGCAUGUGUGUAUAUCUAUUCAUUAUUUGGUAUAAGGAUUUUGGAUGUUGAGAAAUCUUUGCAUUUAAUUUUUAUACGAUCUUUUUCUUUGAUUUUAUCUA